rnacentral:rRNA from 1 species
GAUGAACGCUAGCGAGACGCCUAACACAUGCAAGUCGAAUGUCUUUAUGACAUGGCAAACGGGUGCGUAACACGUGCUUAACCUGCCCUUUGGUGGGGGAUACCUGUGGAAACACAACUAAUCCCCCAUAAGUUCUUCAAAAUGAGAAUAUGAAGAAGAAAGGUUUACCGCCAAAGGAGGGGAGCGCGGUCUAUUAGCUAGUUGGUGAGGUAAUGGCUCACCAAGGCAAUGAUGGAUAGCUGGUCUGAGAGGAUGAUCAGCCACAAUGGAACUGAGACACGGUCCAUACCCCUACGGGGGGCAGCAGUGGGGAAUAUUGCACAAUGGACGAAAGUCUGAUGCAGCGAUCUCGCGUGGAGGAUGAAGCAUUACGGUGUGUAAACUCCUUUUCUGGAGGAAGACGACUGACGGUACUCCAGGAAUAAGGGACGGCUAACUACG